ACUUUAAUUGAAGAGUUUGAUCAUGGCUCAGAUUGAACGCUGGCGGCAGGCCUAACACAUGCAAGUCGAGCGGAAACAGGAAGGUGCUUGCACCUUUGCUGUCGAGCGGCGGACGGGUGAGUAAUGCCUAGGGAACUGCCCAGUCGAGGGGGAUAACAGUUGGAAACGACUGCUAAUACCGCAUACGCCCUACGGGGGAAAGGAGGGGACGCGUUUUUCGAAGUGCGCCUUUCGCGAUUGGAUGUACCUAGGUGGGAUUAGCUAGUUGGUAAGGUAAUGGCUUACCAAGGCGACGAUCCCUAGCUGGUCUGAGAGGAUGAUCAGCCACACUGGAACUGAGACACGGUCCAGACUCCUACGGGAGGCAGCAGUGGGGAAUAUUGCACAAUGGGCGCAAGCCUGAUGCAGCCAUGCCGCGUGUGUGAAGAAGGCCUUCGGGUUGUAAAGCACUUUCAGCGAGGAGGAAAGGUUGUAGUUUAAUAAACUAUAGCUGUGACGUUACUCGCAGAAGAAGCACCGGCUAACUUCGUGCCAGCAGCCGCGGUAAUACGAGGGGUGCAAGCGUUAAUCGGAAUUACUGGGCGUAAAGCGUACGCAGGCGGUUUGUUAAGCAAGAUGUGAAAGCCCCGGGCUCAACCUGGGAAUUGCAUUUUGAACUGGCAAACUAGAGUCUUGUAGAGGGGGGUAGAAUUUCAUGGUGUAGCGGUGAAAUGCGUAGAGAUCUGAAGGAAUACCGGUGGCGA
rnacentral:rRNA from 1 species